GACGGGCCGCACAGCGGUGGAGUAUGUGGUUUAAUUCGAUGCAACGCGAAGAACCUUACCUGGUCUUGACAUCCCGGAGACCCUUAGGAAACUAGGGGGUGCUUCCAUCUGGAAGAAUCUGGAGACAGGUGCUGCAUGGCUGUCGUCAGCUCGUGUCGUGAGAUGUUGGGUUAAGUCCCGCAACGAGCGCAACCCUUGCCUUUAGUUGCCAGCAGUUCGGCUGGGCACUCUAAAGGGACUGCCGGUGUUAAACCGGAGGAAGGUGGGGAUGACGUCAAGUCCUCAUGGCCUUUAUGACCAGGGCUACACACGUACUACAAUGGCCGAUACAAAGGGCAGCGACACUGCGAGGUGAAGCCAAUCCCGUAAAAUCGGUCUCAGUCCGGAUUGGAGUCUGCAACUCGACUCCAUGAAGUUGGAAUCGCUAGUAAUCGUGGAUCAGCAUGCCACGGUGAAUACGUUCCCGGGCCUU
rnacentral:rRNA from 1 species